GCUCCCUUGCUUUCUUCACAGCUUCUGCACCCCCGAAAUGACUUUAUCACCCUUCCCUGCCACAUUUCCUCCUGCUAUUUCUGGGCAAUAUCCAUUUCCUAUGUGAUCUUUCGGACUGUCAAUGAUACUGCUUUUAAUAUCUGAUUAAACUCCAUUUUCAGCUUCAUUUUCCAGUUGCUUAACUCAUUUUUCUGUUGUCUUCCUAACACAUCUAUCUUGGCCUUCUUUCUUCCAAAUUCCUUCAUUCUGUCUACCAUUUAAUGUAGCUUAGCAUCAUUUGCUUCUCCACGAUUCUAUUAUGUGAUGCUUUUGUGACUCCUCUUACUCUCUUUGAACCUACUGGGUAUUUAACCUUCUGUAAUUAAUAAUUUCUGUCUUUAAAGUUUACGCUUUAUAUUUCCCCUUUAUUAGCACUUUUAUUCCUGCAUUUACAAACACUAUAUUGAUUCUGGUGAGAGUUUCAGUUGGUCUCCUUAUUAUUCAGACAUGAAGUAAUGAUGUUUUCACUCUCUUUAGGAAUAAUUUUAUUACCCUUUCUGAUCAACUUCUCCAUAGAUUGUAACUUCAGAGAAGUCAGAACUUCUACGUAAUGCGUAUCAGAAUUCAUCUGUCAAGUCUUCUACCAAGCCUACUGAUCUGCGGUUGGGUUAAGAUGUCUUUAGGAAGAUACUCCCCUAUCCAUCUGAAAAUCUUCAAGAGAUGAAGCAGCCAUUAUAACCCUUUGGUGAGUAGUCUCAGUUAAUUAAUUACUCUUAUCAAAAAUGUGUGUCUCUGGGUUUUGAUACGUUGUCCGACUUCAGCUUUCAGCUACCGCACUUUGUUGGCUUUAGCUUCUCAUGCAGGCUGAGAGCACACCGUAAUUCUGGUACUGAAGAGUGUGUCUUUUCUGAUGUUUUUCCCUCAUUAUUUCGACCCCCCUUUUUGAAGUAUACCAAGUAUAAACAGUAUUUAAUAACUUCUUCAUGAAUGACAGACAAGUAAGUAAUGCACCCUUCUGUGUUCCCAGGUGAAUGUUAGCCCGUCUGUGUUCAGCUGGUCACUGACCAUUGACUAGGCCCUGUAAGUUAUUUUUAGGAUGUUUUCCCCUACAGACCUGUAUAGGUGAUUUGCAAAUGCUAUAUUAGUGGUAAUUUUCUAUUUUAUUGUCAAUUAUUUUCUCACAAAUAUCAUUCUAUUCCCCUUCUUUUACUUUGAGUCAGUUUUCUGGUUUGUAUUUCUUUGCCUUCAAGAAUGCUUUUUCAUCCUCGUCUUUGAAAACCCCACCUUUAACUGGCUUCCUCAGUCUAUUACAACUUUUAUUCUCUUCCAGGGCUCACCCCACCUCUCGUUUAAUUGUUAUGUAUUUCCUCCUGGAAGUCCCACCUCCCAUUUAACACCUUCAAAAUUAAGCUUUUAAAAUACUUUCGCCUUCCGCUGGCCUCGCUGUGCAUAGUGCCCAACAGCCAGCCUCCGCCUCCUGGACCCAAACAGUUAAGACCGUCCUCUGUAUUGGUUUUUGGCUACAGUCUCACAAAUCUUGUCUUUCACAUUUAAUUAUUUUCCCUUUUGGCUUUCUCUGAGACCAGGAUGUUGUCUGGAAUCUUACCAUGUUACGAAAGCACUACAUCCCAAGCAAAACUGUCUUUUCCCAUUUCUGCUAUGUUGCUUCUUUCAUAUGGCUCACUCUCUGUCUGGAAUGUCUUCUGUGCUCAUCAGUCUCCUUAAAACAUGUGAAUGCCAGUAAGUUUGAGCAUAUUUCCCACAAGAUCUCUACAUCUGUCUCCACUCCUGCCGCUUACUCUUUUGGGAAAAAAUCUUAGGAUAGGGAACUCUUCACAGGGACUUAAUUAGAAAACAAACUAUAUUUACGAUACUAUAAUUUCAUUAGGUAUGAUACGAACGUAUCAUUAUCAUCAUACUGUUAUUAAAUGAUAUGUAAUUCCUAACUCUGCUCCAUCCAGCUGAAGGGCUGAGGAUAACAAGUAGUUUUAACAUUCUUUGGUUUUAUUAAACUCUUGGGAGAGUCUAUGAGAAAUUUUAGCACUCAAGGAUAAAGUGUUUUGCCUCUCCAAGAGGAUGAUUGCCCCCUUCAUGCUAUGGCUGGCUGACAGUGCUAGAAAUCCUCCUGAAGGCUGCCUGCUACAAGUAAAAUGAAAUUCCUUUUUGAAUUUUCCUAAUUUCAAAGUAACUGUGCGCAGAAAUUGAAAUUUCAGGUCAGCAAUACAAUACUAACAUCAGCUAAGUGCCAGCCCGUACAGUGAAGAUGGGAAGAGUGCAGGAAUGCUGGUGAAGCAAGAAGAAAUGUCCUGGUUUUGACUCUAAGGACAGUCAGUCAGGGGCUGUUUGUGGGUGUGAAAGCUGUCUGUCCGUUUCUUACGCUAGGCUGGCCUACAAGCAGGAUGAAAAGGUAGGUACUUCGCAUCUUUAACUUAAGAAAGCUUGUGCAUAUUAUCAGACUUACAGCUGUGCAGGCACAAGGGAACAAGAAGAACACUAAAGAAGACAUGUCAUCUUCAGUUCGCUACCCUUUUCUUAAAGAGGAAACGUGGAGGGGCUGAGGCUGUUCCUCCUUACGCAGUCUUGGACCUCCCAGCAGCAGCAUUUUCUGGAGGUUUGGGCAGUCCCACAGCUGGAAGUCAGUGCUGCAACACUGGAAAAGCAAGUAAGUCACUUCUUUUUAAACACUGAUGAUUGGCAGCGUGUCCAGUUGAACUGAAUACUCCUGCUAGUGGAGGGAGACAAGAGAAUUCAGACUAGCAAAACCUAAUGGUAGUGGGCACUUGUGACCCUCAGAUGGAAGGGGUUUUUCAGUUGGGAGGCAAAACUGGCGAGGCAUGCUUCCAGAGAAGUACUAGGGCUGUAGGAUACAUCAUUUGAAGAAACUUGUAAUUAGAUGUAACAGCCUACUCUCAGAUACUAAAUUGUCACAAAAUCUCUUAGAUCAUCUACCCACAAAACUGCUUAGCCUGAUCUCUGUCUUAAACCUAGAUUUCCUAUUUUUAUUUAAAGGUUGCCCCUUCAUCAACCAAUACUCUAAAUCAUUUUUGUAUUCAAAAUGUUAGGCUCUUUGUCCUUGAAUAUUUAUCAAAGAAGGUAACUAGAUUUUGAGCACUCAGAAAAACAUGACACUUCUCAAGGGGCUGCUCUCCACCCUUAUCUGGACAUCUAAAACGCAGACAAUGCAGCACUUGGUAACCAGUCUGCGCACCUGUCCUGUCACUGAGGUGUUUGUUCUUGUUACUACAACAAGUCUCACCGAAGUUCAAAGGGGAUAACUGGCUGCAAACCUCCCAGGGAAAACCUCGCCUGUAGAAAAGAGCAGCACACCUUUAUCUUCUGCAUAAUGCAAGUUGUGUUUGGUAAGGUUGCCAUAUGUUGGUAUCCUGUAAAAAUAAAAUAAUAGGACUUAACUUCUAUACAGACUCAUUUAGUUUAGCAGUAUUGGUUAAUGGAGAAAAUAAACUGCAUGUAAAAUCAUGUAUUUUAUUGAGCCAGCCACAUUUUCCGAAGGCAGCUUGCCUUUUUUUGGUCGGUUUGUUUCUAAUUGCAUACUUAAUUCAUACACUUUUUAUAAAGCAUUUGCAAAUUAAGUUAUCCCUGCUAACCUCAAUGUGGUUUAAUUAAGAGUAACAAUUCUUUACUUUCAAUAUCCCAACUAUGCUCCUGUCAAAUUUCUCUAACAACCAGUUGCUCGCUGUAGUUUGAGCUACGGAAUUGCAGAGGGACAUAAAUCAUUUAACUGGAAGGUUUACACAGUUGCAGAAGGAAAGCAUUAUUACUGUUUGUUUCUUCCAAAAUAAAUUUCACACUGAGGUCAAGUAAGGGAGUACAGUGCAUGCAGACUUAACAGUGCAUACCAACCAGAAUUACAUGACAUUGUUAAUUAUCUUUCCCUAAAACUGUUGACAGAGUUAGAAACAAAUUCAGUCUGCAGUUAAAGCACUCUUACGAAGGAUUUGAAGAGGCUGUGAACUAUACCCCCCACAUUUUUUGAAAGAUCUGAUGUAUCAGCAGCUUUGUAAUCCCUGUCAGUUCACCUCUGAUGGGAACCCCACCUCCUAGAGGGAGUUCAUUUUGCCACUCGAUACACGGAAUAUUAAAGCACUGCACAUGCUUCCUAUUGAUUCAUGUAGCUUACCUACCUACGAUGGUAGUACUUGACUGCAGCUGAAUCAUUAUUACUCUCUGAAGUUGCAGGCAAGCAGAACAGAGACCAGUUUCCCCAAGUAAAGCUGUUUAUAUACAUAGUCUGUCUUAUUUGCCACCUCAUUCACUAAAAUUCCAUAAAUAAUGCUUAAAUUAUAUACAGUAUCAUAGAAGUGGGUCUUUAUUCUUCCCCCAAAUAAAUUACUUU